rnacentral:lncRNA from 1 species
CUUGGACUGAAAUUUAUAUCACUGGCUUUCCUGCAUGUCCAGCUUGCAGAUGGCAGAUCAUGAGACUUCUGAGCCUCCAGAAUCGCGGAAAAAUGUCAAUCCUACCCACAGCUCAGCUGCUAAUGCCUGAACUCAACUCAAUUGAAGAAUACAGCUGUUUGCCAGCUACUUGCAAGGAAGGAUAAUCCCUUGCUACUGAAUACCUCUGAGAGCUCAGCUGAAAGAAAUAAUAUUUGUGGAAGGUGUCCUGAGGAUGACAUGUGGAUGUGGAGGAUGUGGAGGAUGAGAUGGGAAAACACCCAUCUCAUCAUCUAGAAACUGACAGCUCUCCUCUUGGUUAAGCCAGACAAUCUUGGAAUUAUAUUUCUUAGAAUGCAUCAUAUUGGAUUCUGACAGAUUUACCUAUCACAAGAGACAAUCUUGCAGAACUCUCUGCAACAAAGCAAGAAUAUUGACUACAUUACACCAAGUUCUCACUACACAUAUCAAACAAAAAUUCCUCUUUGGUUUCAGUAUCGGGAUUAGUUGUGUGCCCUUAAGUGUCUGGUUUGUUUUCGUAUUGUGGACACCGUGAAUCAUAUAAUUGAUCAAAUUUCUUUCUUCUGCUGGCUGAUAGCAAGUUUACAGACAGUGGCCCGACUCCAGUAGAAGAGAUUUCAUGGCGUUAGGUGAUCUACAUGGAGGAAGACAAGACUUGGCGGCAGAUGCUGAUUA